rnacentral:lncRNA from 1 species
GUGGAAGUUGGGAUAAAAAGGGGAUUUGUUGGGAUUUGGGUCAUGCAAUUGGGGAGAAAAAUGGGAUUUGGUGGGAUUUGGAUCAUAAACUGGGGAUAAAAAUGGGAUUUGGUGCGAUUUGAGUUGUGGAAUUGGGAUCAAAAUGGGAUUUGGGUCAUAAACUGGGGAGAAAAAUGGGUUUUGGUGGGAUUUGAGUCAUGGAAUUGGGGAGAAAAAUGGGAUUUGUUGGGAUUUGGGUCAUGGAAUUGGGGAGAAAUGGGAUUUGUUGGGAUUUGGGUCGUUGAAUUGGAGAGAAGAUGGGAUUUGGUGGGAUUUGGGUCAUAUACUGGGGAGAAAAAUGGGAUUUGUUGGGAUUUGGGUUGUAGAAUUGGGGAGAAAAAUGGGAUUUGGUGGGAUUUGGGUCUUAAACUGGGGAUAAAAUGGGAUUUGGUUCGAUUUGGGUCAUAUACUGGGGAGAAAAAUGGGAUUUGUUGGGAUUUGGGUCGUAGAAUUGGGGAGAAAAAUGGGAUUUGUUGGGAUUUGGGUCAUAAACUGGAGGGAAAAAUGGGAUUUGUUGGGAUUUGGGUGGUGGAAUUGGGGAGAAAAAUGGGAUUUGGUGGGAUUUGGAUCAUAAACUGGGGAGAAAAGUGGGAUUUAGGUCAUGGAAUUGGGGAGAAAAAUGGGAUUUGUUGGGAUUUGAGUCUUAAACUGGGGAUAAAAUGGGAUUUGGUGGGAUUUGAGUCAUGGAAUUGGGGAGAAAAAUGGGAUUUGUUGGGAUUUGGGUCGUGGAAUUUGGGAGAAAAAUGGGAUUUGGUGGGAUAUGAGUUAAACUGGGGAUAAAAUGGGAUUUGGUGCGAUUUGAAUUGUGGAAUUGGGAUCAAAACAGGAUUUGGGUCAUAAACUGGGGAGAAAAAUGGGAUUUGGUGGGAUUUGGGUGGUGGAAUUGGGGAGAAAAUGGGAUUUGUUGGGAUUUGGGUCG